AGAGAGGUGGCAGAGUGGUCGAAUGCGGCGGUCUUGAAAACCGUUGACUGUUACAGGUCCGGGGGUUCGAAUCCCUCCCUCUCUG
rnacentral:tRNA from 1 species